UUUAUUUGUUUUUGCUACUUUUUGUGUUAGAGACAAUAUUUUGUUAUAUUAAAGUUGUCACUUAUGGUAUAAACACGAGUUACUUGACGAUUGUAUGUUGUGAGAAUUAUAGAUUUAAUGAUUUUUCAGUGAUUUUUUAAAUAUAAUAUUCUAUUUUAGUUUUUUAGUCAGGCCAGUCAGUUAUUUAUAUGCAUGGCGUUCUAUGUUAUCUUGUAAGUAUGUACUUACAUACAUACUUAAGUACAUAGUUAGCAAAAGUAUCUACGCAAUUUUGAUGAAUGUGUGAAUUAUAUUUUUUUUUUUACAAAAAGAUAACAGUUCUGAAUGAAACCUGAAAAUUUAUUUUGCCUAAUUUAUUAAAUACUUUGAAGUUUUAUUGAUAUGUAUUGAAAAUAUUUCUACGGAAAUUACAGGAAAAGUUCAAAAUAUAUAGUGCUUGAAAGAAAUGCUUAUUUUUCUAAUAAAACGCAAUAUGAUUUAUGUACUUUAACAAAUCAAUUAAUUAUUUAUUUGAAUAUGUGCUAAUAUUCAAGUAAAUUGUAUUUACUUAUGUAUUGAGUAACGGUUCGGAACAAAUUUCCGAAUGUAUGCAGAUUCCUAACAAUAUCUCGUCCGUUUUCCGAAAAUAUGCAAAAGAUAAAGGUAACAUAAAAUGUUUGCGUUCAUUGUUGAAUUAACUGUACUCACUUCGAUCAGGAAACUCUUAAAGGAAUAGCUUGUGACUGAUUCACCCUGAUUAAAAUUCCGGACGUGUAUCGAUGAUAUUACUUUUGGUAUCUUAUGUCAUCGAGAAUGUUUAGUUCGAUGACACUUAUGCCAUUCACCUUGUUGUGAAUAAGUUGCGGUGAUGUAAUCAGGACGCAUAUUAACAUAUUUUCGUCAGCAACAGUAGUAUUUUAUAUAAAGUAGCCAAUUAAUUAAAAACAUUUACUAUUCGUAUUUAGCAUUUAUUUUGUACUUAGAGUCGGACAUAUUUAUUUAUCCGUUAUUAUUUCAAAAUAGCGAGUUUAAAUCUGUUUAGUUAAUUAUAUUUAGUUAAUUACAUGUUUAUUGAUUGUUCAUUAUUGUACAUAUGUAUAUAUAUACAAAAUAUUACUUCAUAAAAUAUAAAAUUAUAAUCACUACCUGGUCAGCAAACUUAUGUGUAUAAAAUAAAAAAUUAUUAUACUGAAAGUAAAAUCAACGUGGAAAGGUCUCUGGUCGCAAAAUGCAGCACAUUUUGUACUGUGCAUGCGUAUCACGCACAGAAUGCGCUGUGCUUCAUUAAAUAGUUGCAAAACGGCUGAUACUAUCGCGUAUAUGGAGUUACAGUACUUCCGUCACUUGACAAAACAUCGUGAACCACUUCACCCACACGAAACGUAUGCUGGCCGUGUUACGUCGGCCGAUUUCUGUACGAAAAUUAGAUGCAUGUUUUUAUUUCCCAGCCCACUGAUAAGACAUUGCAAUAUUACGUAGUUUAUAACACUCCGAAAAAGUUAAGUUACAAGAAGGUAUGUAAGGAGGCAACAGAACAAAAUUCGAAAAAUCGGUGCAAUAGUUUCUGAGCCUACUCAGCACAGACAAAUAAACGUUGCGCUGUUUCUUUAUUAGGAUAGUAUAGAUAAAUAGAUAUAAAUAAAAGAGCUACAAAUUAAUUUGAUAACUAUACUAUCCUGUUACAGCUAUAAAUAAUGCCAGUUGUGAAUUUUCAGUAUUAUGUAUUUAUUGUGUGAUAUAUUUCGCCACUGUGCUACUACACGAUACAGUCGUAUCAUAAGCAAUAAUCUGUGAGAACUGAAAAUAUAUAGUAUUGCCAAGUAUAAUAUUUGAAGAAACUAUGACUUUAUAUAUAUACAUAUAAAACUAAUAUAUAAAAAAUAUAUAUUAUAUUUAUUAUUAUAUAUAUUAUUAUUAUAUUAUAUAUAUUACAUAAUUAUGUAUAAUGUAUACAAAAUUCUAUGAAACAAAAUUCCGUAUUUUAAAUUACAAAUUGCAAUAUAUCGUGCUAUGUUUUAAAUAACAAAAUUUUCAAUAUUUAUAUUUUUAAUUUUGAUGUUGAAAUAUUUAACAUUUAGACGUUUAACAAUUCCUUUUUGAAUAUUAUUUGCAAAUUUACUUAAUUGCUCUUUAUAAAAUAUUAUACUAAUUUCAAUGUUUAUUUAAAAUCAUAUAAAUUGAAUUUUGUGAAUUUUAAUUUAACGAAUAAUAAAUAAGUAUUCUUGAAAUAAUAACAAUAAGUUUAGCUUUUAUAAAAUAAACUGAAGUCUUAAUUUAUAAAAUUAUGACAUAUAUAUUAAUAAAAUGUACUUAUAUGUUUUGUAGGAUUUAAUUAAUUUUAUACUACAUGGUACCUCAUUUAAAUAUAAAUUAAAUAUUAAAUUAGAUAGUAUGUAAUUCUACAUGAAUAUUGACAAUUUUUUACUAAACUAAUUAUAUGAUUUAUUUCGAUCGUCGUUAAACGUUAAAUUAAAUAUUGCUAAACCUAUUUGUGCGUAUUGUCCGCAUUUCAUUCAUGCAACUUGCAUUCCAUCUAAGAUAUUAUUAAAAUAUAAAUGUUAUCUGUAAUAUUGUUUAUUUGAAUAUCUAUAUUCUGAUAUCUAUAAGACAUAUAUUAAUCAAAUAUUUUACGUUUCUGUACAACCUUUUAAUUAUAUGUACUUAUCUUUUGUA